CUACUCGAAUCCUACGGGAGGCAGCAGUGGGGAAUAUUGCACAAUGGGCGCAAGCCUGAUGCAGCCAUGCCGCGUGUAUGAAGAAGGCCUUCGGGUUGUAAAGUACUUUCAGCAGUGAGGAAGGUGGAUAUGUUAAUAGCACUAUCAUUUGACGUUAGCGACAGAAGAAGCACCGGCUAACUCCGUGCCAGCAGCCGCGGUAAUACGGAGGGUGCGAGCGUUAAUCGGAAUUACUGGGCGUAAAGCGCAUGCAGGUGGUUUGUUAAGUCAGAUGUGAAAGCCCGGGGCUCAACCUCGGAAUAGCAUUUGAAACUGGCAAGCUAGAGUACUGUAGAGGGGGUAGAAUUUCAGGUGUAGCGGUGAAAUGCGUAGAGAUCUGAAGGAAUACCGGUGGCGAAGGCGGCCCCCUGGACAGAUACUGACACUCAGAUGCGAAAGCGUGGGGAGCAAACAGGAUUAGAUACCCUGGUAG
rnacentral:rRNA from 1 species